GAUGAAGAACGCAGCGAAAUGCGAUAAGUAAUGCGAAUUGCAGAAUUUCUAGUGAGUCAUCGAAUCUUUGAACGCACAUUGCGCCCGCCAGUAUUCUGGCGGGCAUGCCUGUUCGAGCGUCAUUACAACCCUCAGGCCCCCGGGCCUGGCGUUGGGGAUCGGCGGAAGCCCCCUGCGGGCACAACGCCGUCCCCCAAAUACAGUGGCGGUCCCGCCGCAGCUUCCAUUGCGUAGUAGCUAACACCUCGCAACUGGAGAGCGGCGCGGCCACGCCGUAAAACACCCAACUUCUGAAUGUUGACCUCGAAUCAGGUAGGAAUACCCGCUGAACUUAAGCAUAUCAAUAAGCGGAGGA
rnacentral:misc_RNA from 1 species